UUUACUCUCCUUUGCCUGUUUAUUCUGUGAAGAUUUUUUUUUUGUAGAUGACUUUCUGUGAGCAUCUAAGUAAUCAUCAUUAAGUUCAGAAGACUUACUAUCACCUUCUUCUGUAAUCUUCCGGUUUUCAUAACCAUUUUUUCCUCGAGAGAUCCUAGCAAAUUUUCUUUUUUCACGAUGAGGUAGAUUAUGAUUUCGCUUUCCCCGCCUAGCACUCGAAUCUAUCAAUUUGGUUAAAUAU